rnacentral:lncRNA from 1 species
GUUGCAUAUAAACGUUUACGACCUAAUCUUAUACAAUAAACUCAGCUUGCUUCACUAUUUUGCACAUAUCUUACAUUGGAAGCGCUGACUUCUAAGUCGGUAAGCUAAAUUAUUGCUUUACUGCUUUGAUGAAAUCUCUCACAUAUUAAUUCAUACGUUGAACAACAAUAAUACUUAACUUUAUGUACAAUAAUUGUAUUUAUUACAUCGAUUGAAACGAAUUACAUUAAUUUUACAGUGAAAUAAAAACCGCUAAUUUCACAUGUGAUAUUUUUUUAGUUGAAUAUCUUUUGUAAUAACCUAAAUUAAUUUACUAAUACCCAAAAUGAGAAUGCAUAUCAUGCAUAUACAAGCAAUAACAAUUGUUCAAGGAACACAUACACCCAUGCAACAACUUUUUUUUAACACUCUAGAAAAUCUUUUAUGAUUCAUGUUAUUGUUAAAUGUUCAAAAACUUCUAGACGGUAAACCUUUUGAACGUCGUCAAAUGUCUGAUUAUUUGAUUUAUUCAGUUAGAUGAUUUUUGACUUAAUAAAUAAAGGCAACAGUAAUAUGGUCCAAGGAAACAGUUAUCGUCCUUUGGUUUUAGUUGUCUACGAAUAUAGUCCCCAGUGUAAACAGUGUAUAACUUGCCAUGUUUUAUUUGAUACACUUUCCCAAUUUUAUUUUUGAUAUUAAAUGCAUGAAUUGUUAAGCAGGGGGAUGUAAUUACAUGUUAAAAAAAUUGGGUGAUGAAUCUUUAUGCUUAGUAGUGAUUUGGUCUAGUGUAAAAAGGUCAAAUUUUAUCACGUCUGAAGCUGUCAAACUGAAUUUUACACCCCCUUAAUACAGAAUUGUCAAUAUUUUGAGUUAGCGCUGGUAGAAAUUUCUAUAAUUUUGAUAUUAUUUGUCUCACUGGUAGUACACUACACUAUAAAAAUCUUUUUAAGAAAGAGCAGGUGCAAUUUUUUUAAUUUGAAUUUAUUGUCUAAAAGAAAUGCACUACGAAAUAACUGUGUUCUCGGGCCAUAUAACGCUGUUCAAAAUUCAUCAAUCGAUUGAGAAAAAAGCAAAUCCGAGAUACAAACUAAAACUGAACGAAACGCAUCAAAUAUAAGAGGAUAACUACGACACAACAGAAACACAACAUUAAAAUGUAACUCACACAAAAACGAACUAUAAUAUAACAAUGGCCAUUCUUCUGACUUUGUACAGGACCUUUUAAGAAUAGUAGGUCGAACAUGGUUUUGUGGCAUGUAAAAUUUCCCGCUUUUAUGACUAUUAAAUAUAACAUUAAAAUGAUUACAUUACAUGACAGGACUACAAUACCAAUAAUAUAGGACAGAGAAACACACGAAUAAUAGCUAACAAAAAGCUUUAAAUUUAAUACGCAAGACGUGCGUUUCGUUCACACAAGACCAACCAGCGACGUCCAGAUGAAAAAAGUCCGAAAGCCAAAUCAAGUACAAAGUUGAAGAGUACUGAGGACACA